rnacentral:lncRNA from 1 species
GCGGCCCCGCCCCCCUCAGGCCCCGCCUCCGCAGCCCUCCGCGCCCCUCCCCAUUGCCCCGCCUCUUGCCGCCGGGCGCGGGGCAGGGGCCGCAAAACCUCCCUCAACCUUCCGGUGCACAAGCACUUUGGGGUUCGCGACCUUGGUGCGGCUGGGACGCGUCCUGGAACUUCAGUAAGGCUCUAAGCCCCCGGGGCUGGUUGCAAAGCCGCGCCUGAGGACCGACCUCUUUCUUCCUGCCUCAGGCUCCCGGGACCUUCUGGGAGGACUCCUGGAGGCCGCGUGGGGCCAGAGAAAUGUUCUCAGGCUAAGAGCGCGCUUUGUUCGCAUUACUCUCUCGGGAAGGAAAGUGGGUGGGCAUGAAGUUGGGCCUGAAGGUCCUGAAGAUAGUGAUUUUAGUCAGCAGGCCCUUGUCCCAUAGAAAGGGGCGUCGCUGGCUGCUGUUAGUGGAGUCUGCCUUUGGAAAGGCCACUGGUGCACCCAGAGGUUAUCCCCAGACCCGCGUUAAAUAUCUAGCAGGCACCAAACACCUGCAAGAAACCUCCAAGUACUGUGCAUCUCACGCCGAGUCCUGGUUGCCCCCUCACCCAGGUCUUCCAGCCGCCUUCCUGAAGGUGUGGGGUCCUGCUGGCCUCACUGCUUCUGGUAAGGAAAUGAGGACCGAUUCUGAUUCCCAGUGAGGAGGGCUUUCUCCCCAGGUGAAGAGGGAAUGAUAUCUGUCACCAUAGGUGACACCUCCACCAAGGUGUCCUAUGUCCUCCUCUCCCCAAAAGCUGGAGGAUGGGGCUGCUUCAUGAACAGAGCCUCACCUGGGGACCAUGUGGGGCCACCUUUGGAAACCCAACCUUCACCACCUGACCAAUCCGACUCAGCAGCAUCACUGCCCAUGGCAGCAGUGGGCACUGGGAAUGUGGCCACCAAGGCAUGGAAGUGUUAGUUGUAUGUCAUAGAUGGUGGCCAGUGGAUACCUUCCUGGACAGAGCAAUUCUUUCUGGUGGUCAAUUUGUAAAUCUGUUUUUGCUUCGCGCUUGCAUCUGAGCAGCACCGCGUAGUUCUGUGUUCACGCGUGUCAGAGUGAACUACAGUAAAGGAUGUCAGUCUCCAUAUGGGGGUCUGUGGGGUGCUUUCUGUUAAAAG